ACAUCGAAACAUUGGUUUCCUUAAGAUCACCAAAGUAAAGCAACGUCAAGCCUGGUCAGUACCUAGAUGGGUGACCACUUGCGAAUGCCAGGUGCUGCAAU